UAGGGAAUCUUCCACAAUGGGCGCAAGCCUGAUGGAGCAACACCGCGUGAGUGAAGAAGGGUUUCGGCUCGUAAAGCUCUGUUGUUAAAGAAGAACACGUAUGAGAGUAACUGUUCAUACGUUGACGGUAUUUAACCAGAAAGUCACGGCUAACUACGUGCCAGCAGCCGCGGUAAUACGUAGGUGGCAAGCGUUAUCCGGAUUUAUUGGGCGUAAAGAGAGUGCAGGCGGUUUUCUAAGUCUGAUGUGAAAGCCUUCGGCUUAACCGGAGAAGUGCAUCGGAAACUGGAUAACUUGAGUGCAGAAGAGGGUAGUGGAACUCCAUGUGUAGCGGUGGAAUGCGUAGAUAUAUGGAGGAACACCAGUGGCGAAGGCGGCUACCUGGUCUGCAACUGACGCUGAGACUCGAAAGCAUGGGUAGCGAACAGGAUUAGAUACCCUGGUAGUCCAUGCCGUAAACGAUGAGUGCUAGGUGUUGGAGGGUUUCCGCCCUUCAGUGCCGGAGCUAACGCAUUAAGCACUCCGCCUGGGGAGUACGACCGCAAGGUUG
rnacentral:rRNA from 1 species